CAGCCGUAAACUAUGCUCGCUAGGUGUCAGGCAUGGCGCGACCGUGUCUGGUGCCGCAGGGAAGCCGUGAAGCGAGCCACCUGGGAAGUACGGCCGCAAGGCUGAACUUAAGGAAUUGGCGGGGGAGCACAACAACGGGUGGAGCCUGCGGUUUAAUUGGACUCAACGCCGGACAACUCACCGGGGACGACAGCAAUAUGUAGGCCAGGCUGAAGACCUUGCCUGAAUCGCUGAGAGGAGGUGCAUGGCGUAGACGUCU
rnacentral:rRNA from 1 species